GGCCCAUUGAAUGAGAAAUUGAAAUCCUGGAAUUUAAAUGGGUUUUUAAUUGAAAUAGAUUAAUUCAAGAUUUAGUCUUGUAAAUCUUAAAAACAAAAUUUAGGGGUUUUUUGAAAUUACACAUUUUUAAAUACCAAAUCAAAUGCUGCAAGUGGUACCCUGAUUCUUGCUUGCUUGAAGUUUCUGCUAUCUUUACUUGAAUUUCUUCUUCUAGUACUUGUUUAGAUAUUGUUUGGAUGGCUGCAAG
rnacentral:misc_RNA from 1 species